UUAGAAACAACUAAACGGGAAACAUGGGGAAAGCAGAAAAAGUUGCAUUAAAGAGAAACAUAGCUUUGAGCCUUCAAAAACAAAUACAGACCAAGCUCGGCAGAAGCAAAACGGACAGAGUUGAUCAAAAGCAACGACAAAGUGGGUUUACUUUGUUCUAACAAAGGGAUUUACAGAGAAGGGGAACAAGGUAGGUAAAUUUUUGGAACUUAAUUCAUAGAUUCGAUUCAUAAAUUCCAUGGCUAUAGAGAUGGGGUUGAGAAUUAGUUGAACAAUUAAAAUUAAUGAAUUAAUGGAAUUCAUGAAAAUUUUCAUGAAUCGGUACUAUAGGCUUAGGGUAUAAACUUAUAUAUAUUCUGUAUAUGCCAGAAAAAAAUCAAUGUAAUUUUGAUAGCAGUGAGUUGGGAUACUGAAAUAGGUCUUGAUAUUUCAAGUAGAAUAAGAGAGAUUUGUUGGGUUAUUAUAAUUCGACGAAUUAAGAGCCAAACACUUAAACUCUUAGGAUUGAGCAUUCUAAAUUGGCUACGAAUUAGCCUAAACAUGGAAAUUAACAUGAGAACGAUAUCAUGUCAUUAUAGAUUGAUUGGAGGAAUUUGUAUGAAUUGCUUGAGGUGAAGCAUUUAGUAUUUCGGCACGAGUACGGUGAGUAGUAACCGUACCUCAAUUUGUAUUUUUACAACUAGCAUGAUUUACAUAUAAUUUUAAUAUGAACAUGUUACUAACUUAUUUGAAUUUGCAUGUGGGACAAGUCCUUUACUCGAUGUGAUACUACUAUAUUUAUUUUAGACGAUUACAAUUAUUCUGAAUAUUCUCAUUGUUACUGAAUACGUUUUACCAUUACUUGAGCUAAGAUUUACCGUUAUCGAAAAGAAAUUAUAUGAUUUAAUAAGAACCAAAAAUCCUUAUAUUAUUUUAAAAAGUUUCUACGAGUAUAUACGGAUUACAGAGACAAGUAUAAAUGGGAGUAGACAUUGAAGAAUCUCAUAGCUAACGGCGGGUUCGUUAGACCUGGUGCACCUUGUAUUUACCGAUUACCGUUAUAACCCUCGCUAGUGGGAAGGUAGAACUAGCAUAUCGUUACCGAUUUUCCUCGAGUAGGGGCUACUGUUAUAUAUGACUUCUUGCAAAGAAGUCCACAGUUAUACCGAUUAGACGAUCUGUUCAUUGAAACCUCCCAAAAUGUGAAUACUGAUAUUAUACAGUGGUUACCGAGCUUAUUACUGAAUUAUUAAUUAUAUUAUACUACAAGAAAAGCAUGAUGAGAUUGAAAAUUAUUUAUUGUUUCUGAAAGGGCAUUUUUAUGUUAUUUUCUCUUUGAGAUACAAGCAUGUUUCUGACUUGUCCCCCAAAUAAAAACAAUUAUGGUUAAAUGUUAUUACUCACUGAGCUAGCAACUCAUUCCCCGCUAAUUUUUUUUUACAGAGACAACAAUUGACGUAGGCGAGGAUUUCGUAAAUUAGAG
rnacentral:lncRNA from 1 species